rnacentral:rRNA from 1 species
GACGAACGCUGGCGGCGUGCUUAACACAUGCAAGUCGAACGGAAAGGCCCUGCUUUUGUGGGGUGCUCGAGUGGCGAACGGGUGAGUAACACGUGAGUAACCUGCCCUUGACUUUGGGAUAACUUCAGGAAACUGGGGCUAAUACCGGAUAGGAGCUCCUGCUGCAUGGUGGGGGUUGGAAAGUUUCGGCGGUUGGGGAUGGACUCGCGGCUUAUCCGCUUGUUGGUGGGGUAGUGGCUUACCAAGGUUUUGACGGGUAGCCGGCCUGAGAGGGUGACCGGCCACAUUGGGACUGAGAUACGGCCCAGACUCCUACGGGAGGCAGCAGUGGGGAAUAUUGCACAAUGGGCGGAAGCCUGAUGCAGCAACGCCGCGUGCGGGAUGACGGCCUUCGGGUUGUAAACCGCUUUCGCCUGUGACGAAGCGUGAGUGACGGUAAUGGGUAAAGAAGCACCGGCUAACUACGUG